GACGAACUGUGCAAACGUUAUUCGGAAUCACUGGGCUUAAAGGGUGCGUAGGCGGUCUUGUAAGUAGGGUGUGAAAGCCCCCGGCUCAACUGGGGAACUGCGUCCUAAACUGCGAGGCUUGAGUGAGGUAGGGGUGUGUGGAACUUCCAGUGGAGCGGUGAAAUGUGUUGAUAUUGGAAGGAACGCCGGUGGCGAAAGCGACACACUGGACCUUGUCUGACGCUGAGGCACGAAAGCCAGGGGAGCAAACGGG
rnacentral:rRNA from 1 species